GGGGAGUGACGUCAAGUCAUCAUGGCCCUUACGGCCUGGGCUACACACGUGCUACAAUGGUCGGUACAAAGGGUUGCCAAGCCGCGAGGUGGAGCUAAUCCCAUAAAACCGAUCGUAGUCCGGAUCGCAGUCUGCAACUCGACUGCGUGAAGUCGGAAUCGCUAGUAAUCGUGAAUCAGAAUGUCACGGUGAAUACGUUCCCGGGCCUU
rnacentral:rRNA from 1 species